UAGGGAAUCUUCGGCAAUGGUCGGAAGUCUGACCGAGCAACGCCGCGUGAGUGAAGAAGCUUUUCGGAUCGUAAAGCUCUGUUGUUAUCUAAGAACGUUGGUAGGAGUGGAAAAUCUACCAAGUGACGGUAACUAACCAGAAAGGGACGGCUAACUACGUGCCAGCAGCCGCGGUAAUACGUAGGUCCCGGUCGUUGUCCGGAUUUAUUUGGCGUAAAGCGAGCGCAGGCGGUUCUUUAAGUCUGAAGUUAAAGGCAGUGGCGUAAAAAUUGGACUCUGUGGAAACUGGAGGACUUGAGUGCAGAAGGGGAGAGUGGAAUUCCAGGUGUAGCGGUGAAAUGCGUAGAUAUAUGGAGGAAAACCGGUGGAGAAAGCGGCACUCAGGUCUGUAACUGACGCUGAGGCUAGAAAGCGUGGGGAGCAAACAGG
rnacentral:rRNA from 1 species